GAUGUACUACAGAGUUACAGGAACUUCUGAACGACUUCAAGAAAACAAGGAGCAUAGGUAAAUGCUGCAGGAGGCAGAAGUUGGACAAAACCACCACUGCCCUUACUGCCAUUAAAGCAGAGGACCUUCUGGAGCAGUGUUGCUAUUUCAGCCUGUCACAUGGUAAUCGAUGGAGUAAUGCCUGGUGGACAUGACACCACGCCUCAGGACUUCUUGGCCUAAAUGACUCACAGCUGUCCCUGUCCAAAUUCCUCCUG